UACGAAGGGGGCUAGCGUUGCUCGGAAUUACUGGGCGUAAAGCGUGCGCAGGCGUCUUGCAAGACAGAUGUGAAAUCCCCGGGCUUAACCUGGGAACUGCAUUUGUGACUUCAAGGCUGGAGUGCGGCAGAGGGGGAGUGGAAUUCCGCGUGUAGCAGUGAAAUGCGUAGAUAUGCGGAGGAACACCGAUGGCGAAGGCAAUCCCCUGGGCCUGCACUGACGCUCAUGCACGAAAGCGUGGGGAGCAAACAGG
rnacentral:rRNA from 1 species